rnacentral:lncRNA from 1 species
ACAAUACAAAUGGUAACUAACAACCCUUAAUAUACAAGAGCCAAUGUAGUGGAGAAAGUGCUCAAUUAUAUCCAUUAUAGACAUUACAUAUUUGGAGCAUAAUGCCUUGCAAGAUAGACUUUGAACGAAUCUCAAAACUACAAAAUCCAUCCCCCACAAUGGACCUAGCUUGUCCGUAGCAUUGGCCAUAUUGGAUGUGUUUAAUUAUAGAUGGGGUAUAUAUUAGGUG